UACAGAGGGUGCGAGCGUUGUUCGGAAUUAUUGGGCGUAAAGCGCUUGUAGGCGGCCUGUCAAGUCGCGUGUGAAAUCCCCUGGCUUAACCAGGGAAGUGCGCGCGAAACUGAAGGGCUUGAGUGCCGGAGAGGGUCGCGGAAUUCCCGGUGUAGAGGUGAAAUUCGUAGAUAUCGGGAGGAACACCAGUGGCGAAGGCGGCGACCUGGACGGACACUGACGCUGAGGUGCGAAAGCGUGGGGAGCAAACAGG
rnacentral:rRNA from 1 species